UCAAGUAAUUAAGUGCAUGUGGUGGAUGCCUUGGCAGUCAGAGGCGAUGAAAGACGUGAUAGCCUGCGAAAAGCUCCGGGGAGGCGGCAAAUAUCCUUUGAUCCGGAGAUGUCUGAAUGGGGGAACCCACCUACUUUAAGGUAGGUAUUGCAACAUGAAUACAUAGUGUUGCAAGGCGAACGAGGGGAAGUGAAACAUCUCAGUACCCUUAGGAAAAGAAAUCAAUUGAGAUUCCCUCAGUAGCGGCGAGCGAACGGGGAUCAGCCCAUUAAGUUAUGUGUGUUUUAGUGGAACGCUCUGGGAAGUGCGAACGUAGAGGGUGAUAUUCCCGUACACGAAAGGGCACACAUAAUGAUGACGAGUAGGGCGAGGCACGUGAAACCUUGUCUGAAUAUGGGGGGACCAUCCUCCAAGGCUAAAUACUCCUGACUGACCGAUAGUGAACCAGUACCGUGAGGGAAAGGCGAAAAGAACCCCUGUGAGGGGAGUGAAAUAGAUCCUGAAACCGCAUGCAUACAAGCAGUGGGAGCACCUUCGUGGUGUGACUGCGUACCUUUUGUAUAAUGGGUCAGCGACUUAUAUUCAGUAGCGAGGUUAACCGUAUAGGGGAGCCGUAGAGAAAUCGAGUCUUAAUAGGGCGUUUAGUUGCUGGGUAUAGACCCGAAACCAGGCGAUCUAUCCAUGAGCAGGUUGAAGGUUGGGUAACACUAACUGGAGGACCGAACCCACUGUCGUUGAAAAGCCAGGGGAUGACUUGUGGAUAGGGGUGAAAGGCUAAUCAAGCCUGGUGAUAGCUGGUUCUCCCCGAAAGCUAUUUAGGUAGCGCCUCGGACGAAUACCAUAGGGGGUAGAGCACUGUUUCGGCUAGGGGGUCAUCCCGACUUACCAAACCGAUGCAAACUCCGAAUACCUAUGAGUACUAUCCGGGAGACAGACUGCGGGUGCUAACGUCCGUAGUCAAGAGGAAAACAAUCCAGACCGCCAGCUAAGGCCCCAAAAUCAUAGUUAAGUGGGAAACGAUGUGGGAAGGCAUAGACAGCUAGGAGGUUGGCUUAGAAGCAGCCACCCUUUAAAGAAAGCGUAAUAGCUCACUAGUCGAGUCGGCCUGCGCGGAAGAUGUAACGGGGCUAAAACUAUGUGCCGAAGCUGCGGAUGUAUACUUUGUAUACGUGGUAGGGGAGCGUUCUGUAAGCCGAUGAAGGUGUGUUGAGAAGCAUGCUGGAGGUAUCAGAAGUGCGAAUGCUGACGUGAGUAACGACAAAACGGGUGAAAAACCCGUUCGCCGAAAGACCAAGGGUUCCAGUCCAACGUUAAUCGGGGCUGGGUGAGUCGACCCCUAAGGCGAGGCCGAAAGGCGUAGUCGAUGGGAAAAUGGUUAAUAUUCCAUUACUUCUGUGUAAUGCGAUGAGAGGACGGAGAAGGCUAAAUCAGCCUGGCGUUGGUUGUCCAGGUGAAAGGAUGUAGGCAUGUAUCUUAGGCAAAUCCGGGGUACUCUAUGCUGAGAUCUGAUAGCAAGCUGUACUUGUACAGCGAAGUGGUUGAUGCCAUGCUUCCAGGAAAAGUCUCUAAGCUUCAGUUACACAGGAAUCGUACCCGAAACCGACACAGGUGGUCAGGUCGAGUAGACCAAGGCGCUUGAGAGAACUCUGCUGAAGGAACUAGGCAAAAUGGUACCGUAACUUCGGGAGAAGGUACGCUGUUGUUGGUGAUGGAACUCGCUUCCUGAGCUGACGACAGCCGCAGAAACCAGGCCGCUGCAACUGUUUAUUAAAAACAUAGCACUCUGCAAACACGAAAGUGGACGUAUAGGGUGUGAUGCCUGCCCGGUGCUGGAAGGUUAAUUGAUGGGGUUAGCGUAAGCGAAGCUCUUGAUCGAAGCCCCAGUAAACGGCGGCCGUAACUAUAACGGUCCUAAGGUAGCGAAAUUCCUUGUCGGGUAAGUUCCGACCUGCACGAAUGGCAUAAUGAUGGCGGCGCUGUCUCCAGCAGAGGCUCAGUGAAAUCGAAAUCGCUGUGAAGAUGCAGUGUACCCGCGGCUAGACGGAAAGACCCCGUGAACCUUUACUGCAGCUUGACACUGAACUUUGACCUUACUUGUGUAGGAUAGGUGGGAGGCUUUGAAGCUGGAACGCUAGUUCCAGUGGAGCCGUCCUUGAAAUACCACCCUGGUAAUGUUGAGGUUCUAACUCUGUCCCGUGAUCCGGGACGAGGACCGUGUCUGGUGGGUAGUUUGACUGGGGCGGUCUCCUCCUAAAGAGUAACGGAGGAGUACGAAGGUGCGCUCAGCGUGGUCGGAAAUCACGCGUAGAGUAUAAAGGCAAAAGCGCGCUUAACUGCGAGACCCACAAGUCGAGCAGGUACGAAAGUAGGUCUUAGUGAUCCGGUGGUUCUGUAUGGAAGGGCCAUCGCUCAACGGAUAAAAGGUACUCUGGGGAUAACAGGCUGAUACCGCCCAAGAGUUCAUAUCGACGGCGGUGUUUGGCACCUCGAUGUCGGCUCAUCUCAUCCUGGGGCUGAAGCAGGUCCCAAGGGUAUGGCUGUUCGCCAUUUAAAGAGGUACGCGAGCUGGGUUUAGAACGUCGUGAGACAGUUCGGUCCCUAUCUACCGUGGGCGCUGGAAAUUUGAGAGGAUCUGCUCCUAGUACGAGAGGACCAGAGUGGACGAACCUCUGGUGUACCGGUUGUGACGCCAGUCGCAUCGCCGGGUAGCUAUGUUCGGAAGGGAUAACCGCUGAAAGCAUCUAAGCGGGAAGCCUACCUCAAGAUAAGAUUUCCCUAGGACUUUAUGUCCUCUAAAGAGCCGUUAGAGACUAGGACGUUGAUAGGUUGGAUGUGGAAGCAUAGUGAUAUGUGAAGCUGACCAAUACUAAUUGCUCGUGAGGCUUGACUAU
rnacentral:rRNA from 1 species